rnacentral:misc_RNA from 1 species
UGAUAAUAGCAAAAAUGGCGUUACAAGUUCAAGUAAAUCAGGUACCAUUGAAGUCAUCAAUGGCGCCGGUGCCGGCGCAGUCAGCAUCUUCUUCGUGGAGGUUCAACAAACAGUCAGUGGUAUGCGUUGCAGGAGAUUAUGGCUUCUCGUCUAGGGUUUUGAGGAACAGAGGAUUGAGCUUGAGGGUGAAGUGUAGUAGCUCAGAUGCUACUGUUACUACUACGACUGUGACGGUGGGACAGGUGACGGAAGUUUGUAAGGAUACCUUUUGGCCGAUUGUUGAAGCCGCCGGUGAAAAAACCGUUGUAGUUGACAUGUAUACACAGUGGUGUGGUCCUUGUAAAGUGAUUGCUCCAAAGUUUCAAGAGCUAUCAAAGAAAUAUAACGAUGUGGUCUUUCUGAAGCUGGACUGUAACCAGGACAACAGGCCACUAGCAAAGGAACUAGGCAUAAAGGUGGUUCCAACAUUCAAGAUUCUGAAGAACAAUAAGAUCGUUAAAGAAGUCACCGGAGCAAAACUUGAUGAUUUAGUAGCAGCAAUUGAGGGUGUGCGAUCAAGUUAAAUAUUUCUUCUUUUUUUUUUCUAUGACUUCUUCUGUUUAAAUAUGAAGCAGAUAAUGUCUAUGAAUGUCGUAAAUUAGUUCUAACUAAAUUCAGUGUAUAGCCGUGGAUAAUGAAGUCUCAUUAGAGAAAAUGGAUGUGAUGUACUUGUCUUGCCAAUGUUUUUAUUUUACUAUGGAGAGUAAUCAAGAAAGA